GGAGGGGAGAGCUCAGUGGUAGAGUGUGUGCUUAGACUGCAUGAGGUCCUGGGUUCAAUCUCCAGUACCUCUG
rnacentral:tRNA from 1 species